GACGAACGCUGGCGGCGUGCUUAACACAUGCAAGUCGAACGGAAAGGCCCUGCUUUUGUGGGGUGCUCGAGUGGCGAACGGGUGAGUAACACGUGAGUAACCUGCCCUUGACUUUGGGAUAACUUCAGGAAACUGGGGCUAAUACCGGAUAGGAGCUCCUGCUGCAUGGUGGGGGUUGGAAAGUUUCGGCGGUUGGGGAUGGACUCGCGGCUUAUCAGCUUGUUGGUGGGGUAGUGGCUUACCAAGGCUUUGACGGGUAGCCGGCCUGAGAGGGUGACCGGCCACAUUGGGACUGAGAUACGGCCCAGACUCCUACGGGAGGCAGCAGUGGGGAAUAUUGCACAAUGGGCGGGAGCCUGAUGCAGUAACGCCGCGUGCGGGAUGACGGCCUUCGGGUUGUAAACCGCUUUCGCCUGUGACGAAGCGUGAGUGACGGUAAUGGGUAAAGAAGCACCGGCUAACUACGUG
rnacentral:rRNA from 1 species